AUGCUAGCGGAGAGGACAGUCGCUUCCGAGGCUCUGGGGCGGGCGGGCGUGCGUGCAGGAGGCAAAGAGACGGCGUGUGGCUGGGCGAGAGAGCGUGUGCGGGGAGGGAAGGGGAGGGAGGGGGGAGGUUGGGAACCGCACACGCACCACGAGAAAGAUGCGCCGCUUCCCGGGGCUGGAGCUACAGCAGCAGGAGCCCCGCGGCCGGUCCGAGCCUGCCGGGGAGCGGCGGAGAGCCGCACAUGGCAGCGGGGGGCUCCGCUCUCCCGGCACCGUCCCCCGGGACCCCGGGCUGCUCGAGGACUUGGCCCGGCCCGCGAUCCCUGCCUCGCACCGAGCUCGGAGGGGCUACUGAGCGCGGAAAAAAAGAAGAACAAGAAGAAGAAAAAAAAGCCAGAGACCCCAGGUAAAUGGUGGAUUUUUUUUUUUUUUAUCCCGGUUCCAGGGGGGUUCUGGUGCUUCUCCACUACACGCGUUGCAAUGCAGAACUGCCGGGCGCGCACACACACACGGCUCGGGAUUGUUAUCCUCCGUCCUCCGGGUCCGGGCGGCCGAGGGCUGAAGCCGGUUAACCCUGUGCAGCCGGGGGGGGCAGCGCCAGCUCUUCGGACCGGGCCGGGAUGCCGGCGGGGCUGGGCUGGGCUGUGCGGCGCCGAGCCGAGCCGAGCCGAGCCGAGCCGGGGGCGGGCAGCCGGCGGCCGGCGCGCCAAGUGCGGCCAACUCGGCGGCGCAGGUGAAGCGCAGCCGGGGGAGCGGCUCGGCCAAUGGGCGAGCCGUAUGCAAAUGUACCGGCCGCGGCGAGCCAAUGGGGGCGGCGGCAGCUCUCCGCAGAGGGACUGGCUGGCUCCGGGGGGAGGCGGGGCCGGGCGGGGAUGGGCACGGCUCCGCCCACCGCAUCUGCCCGCCGGGGCCGCGCGCGGGCGGCCGGCCUCGGCCCUGGCCCUGGCCUGGGCCUGUCAGCGCCCCCCGGCCCUGCCCCAAGUGCCCCGGCAGCACCGGGCCGAGCCCCCCAGCGGCCCCCCGCUGCACCUCCCGUACACCUGCCGGUGGUUCCCCAGGGGCUGGCAGUGUAGGGGAUCUAACCCGGUGGUGGUCGGUCGGGAAUACUUCAGGGCUUUGCUGGGUCUGCCCAGCGGUUGUGGUGCCCAAGCUGGAAAGUGA
rnacentral:lncRNA from 1 species